GCUCGCAAGAGAACCGGAACACAGGUGCUGCAUGGCUGUCGUCAGCUCGUGUCGUGAGAUGUUGGGUUAAGUCCCGCAACGAGCGCAACCCUUGUCAUUAGUUGCCAUCAUUUGGUUGGGCACUCUAAUGAGACUGCCGGUGACAAACCGGAGGAAGGUGGGGAUGACGUCAAGUCCUCAUGGCCCUUAUGGGUAGGGCUUCACACGUCAUACAAUGGUCGGUACAGAGGGUUGCCAACCCGCGAGGGGGGAGCUAAUCCCACAAAGCCGAUCGUAGUCCGGAUCGCAGUCUGCAACUCGACUGCGUGAAGUCGGAAUCGCUAGUAAUCGUGGAUCAGCAUGUCACGGUGAAUACGUUCCCGGGUCUU
rnacentral:rRNA from 1 species